rnacentral:sRNA from 1 species
CAGGAUGCCAGGUUGGAGAGCACCAGAUUUAUCUACCCACCGAGAAGGCAUAGGCCAGGCCUCCCUCCCAUGCUGCCCUGCCCGUGUGCCUCAGCCUUGCCCUGGAGGGACUCUGUCCCCAGGAGGUGAGGCGUUUACUCUCCAGGGCCAUUCUGGUAUGAGCUUUC